AUUGAACGCUGGCGGCAUGCUUUACACAUGCAAGUCGAACGGUAACAGGGAGCUAGCUCCGCUGACGAGUGGCGAACGGGUGAGUAAUGCGUCGGAACGUGCCGAGUAGUGGGGGAUAACGCAGCGAAAGUUGUGCUAAUACCGCAUACGUACUGAGGUAGAAAGUGGGGGACCUUCGGGCCUCACGCUAUUCGAGCGGCCGACGUCUGAUUAGCUAGUAGGUGAGGUAAAGGCUCACCUAGGCGACGAUCAGUAGCGGGUCUGAGAGGAUGAUCCGCCACACUGGGACUGAGACACGGCCCAGACUCCUACGGGAGGCAGCAGUGGGGAAUUUUGGACAAUGGGCGAAAGCCUGAUCCAGCCAUGCCGCGUGUCUGAAGAAGGCCUUCGGGUUGUAAAGGACUUUUGUCGGGGAGGAAAUCCCCAGCGCUAAUACCGCUGGGGGAUGACAGUACCUGAAGAAUAAGCACCGGCUAACUACGUGCCAGCCGCCGGGGUAAUAC
rnacentral:rRNA from 1 species